rnacentral:rRNA from 1 species
CACGUAGGGGGCUAGCGUUGUCCGGAUUUAUUGGGCGUAAAGAGCGUGUAGGCGGCCAUGUAGGUCCGUUGUGAAAACUCGAGGCUCAACCUCGAGACGCCGAUGGAAACCAUGUGGCUAGAGUCCGGAAGAGGAGAGUGGAAUUCCUGGUGUAGCGGUGAAAUGCGCAGAUAUCAGGAAGAACACCCGUGGCUAAGGCGGCUCUCUAGUACGGUACUGACGCUGAGACGCGAAAGCGUGGGAGCGAACAGG